GCCCGGUUAGCUCAAUCGGUAGAGCACGAGACUCUUAAUUCCGGAGUCGUGGGUUAGAGCCCCACAUCGGGUG